GACGAACGCUGGCGGCGUGCUUAACACAUGCAAGUCGUACGGUAAGGCCCUUUCGGGGGUACACGAGUGGCGCACGGGUGAGUAACACGUGAGUAACCUGCCCACAACUUUGGGAUAACGCUAGGAAACUGGUGCUAAUACUGGAUAUGUGCUCCUGCUGCAUGGUGGGGGUUGGAAAGCUCCGGCGGUUGUGGAUGGACUCGCGGCCUAUCAGCUUGUUGGUGGGGUAGUGGCCUACCAAGGCGGCGACGGGUAGCCGGCCUGAGAGGGUGACCGGCCACAUUGGGACUGAGAUACGGCCCAGACUCCUACGGGAGGCAGCAGUGGGGAAUAUUGCACAAUGGGCGCAAGCCUGAUGCAGCAACGCCGCGUGCGGGAUGACGGCCUUAGGGUUGUAAACCGCUUUCAGCAGGGACGAAGCUUUUUGUGACGGUACCUGCAGAAGAAGCACCGGCUAACUACGUG
rnacentral:rRNA from 1 species